rnacentral:rRNA from 1 species
UACGUAGGGUGCGAGCGUUGUCCGGAAUUACUGGGCGUAAAGAGCUCGUAGGUGGCUUGUCGCGUUGUUCGUGAAAACUCACAGCUUAACUGUGGGCGUGCGGGCGAUACGGGCAGACUGGAGUACUGCAGGGGAGACUGGAAUUCCUGGUGUAGCGGUGGAAUGCGCAGAUAUCAGGAGGAACACCGGUGGCGAAGGCGGGGUCUCUGGGGCAGUAACUGACGCUGAGGAGCGAAAGCGUGGGGGAGCGAACAGGA